GAUGAACGCUAGCUACAGGCUUAACACAUGCAAGUCGAGGGGAAACGAUAUUGGAAGCUUGCUUCCGAUAGGCGUCGACCGGCGCACGGGUGAGAAACGCGUAUCCAACCUGCCUACCACUGGGGAAUAACCUUGAGAAAGUAAGACUAAUGCCCAAUGAUAUCUCGAGAAGACAUCUGAUGGAGAUUAAAGAUUUAUCGGUGAUGGAUGGGGAUGCGUCUGGUUAGCGUGUUGGCGGGGUAACGGCCCACCAAGGCGACGAUCAGUAGGGGUGCUGAGAGGAAGGUCCCCCACAUUUGAACUGAGACACAGUCCAAACUCCUACGGGAGGCAGCAGUGAGGAAUAUUGGUCAAUGGGCGAGGGCCUGAACCAGCCAAGUAGCGUGCAGGAUGACGGCCCUAUGGGUUGUAAACUGCUUUUAUAAGGGAAUAAAGUUAGUCUCGUGAGACUUUUUGCAUGUACCUUAUGAAUAAGGACCGGCUAAUUCCGUGCCAGCCGCCGCCGUAA
rnacentral:rRNA from 1 species